rnacentral:rRNA from 1 species
UACGGGGGAUGCAAGCGUUAUCCGGAUUUAUUGGGUUUAAAGGGUGCGUAGGCUGUGAGGUAAGUCAGCGGUGAAAUGCCCCCGCUCAACGGGGUGAAGUGCCAUUGAUACUGCCUUGCUGGAAUGCGGAUGCCGUGGGAGGAAUGUGUGGUGUAGCGGUGAAAUGCAUAGAUAUCACACAGAACACCGAUUGCGAAGGCAUCUCACGAAUCCCCUAUUGACGCUGAUGCACGAAAGCGUGGGUACCAAACAGG